rnacentral:rRNA from 1 species
UACGUAGGGUGCAAGCGUUAAUCGGAAUUACUGGGCGUAAAGCGUGCGCAGGCGGUUAGGUAAGACAGGUGUGAAAUCCCCGGGCUUAACCUGGGAACUGCAUUUGAGACUGCAUAGCUAGAGUACGGCAGAGGGGGAUGGAAUUCCGCGUGUAGCAGUGAAAUGCGUAGAUAUGCGGAGGAACACCGAUGGCGAAGGCAAUCCCCUGGGCCUGUACUGACGCUCAUGCACGAAAGCGUGGGGAGCAAACAGG